rnacentral:rRNA from 1 species
GCGGCGUGCCUAAUACAUGCAAGUCGAACGAGUUCUGAUUAUUGAAAGGUGCUUGCAUCUUGAUUUAAUUUUGAACGAGUGGCGGACGGGUGAGUAACACGUGGGUAACCUGCCCUUAAGUGGGGGAUAACGUUUGGAAACAGAUGCUAAUACCGCAUAAAUCCAAGAACCGCAUGGUUCUUGGCUGAAAGAUGGCGUAAGCUAUCGCUUUUGGAUGGACCCGCGGCGUAUUAGCUAGUUGGUGAGGUAACGGCUCACCAAGGCAAUGAUACGUAGCCGAACUGAAAGGUUGAUCGGCCACAUUGGGACUGAGACACGGCCCAAACUCCUACGGGAGGCAGCAGUAGGGAAUCUUCCACAAUGGACGCAAGUCUGAUGGAGCAACGCCGCGUGAGUGAAGAAGGCUUUCGGGUCGUAAAACUCUGUUGUUGGAGAAGAAUGGUCGGCAGAGUAACUGUUGUCGGCGUGACGGUAUCCAACCAGAAAGCCACGGCUAACUACGUGCCAGCAGCCGCGGUAAUACGUAGGUGGCAAGCGUUAUCCGGAUUUAUUGGGCGUAAAGCGAGCGCAGGCGGUUUUUUAAGUCUGAUGUGAAAGCCCUCGGCUUAACCGAGGAAGUGCAUCGGAAACUGGGAAACUUGAGUGCAGAAGAGGACAGUGGAACUCCAUGUGUAGCGGUGAAAUGCGUAGAUAUAUGGAAGAACACCAGUGGCGAAGGCGGCUGUCUGGUCUGUAACUGACGCUGAGGCUCGAAAGCAUGGGUAGCGAACAGGAUUAGAUACCCUGGUAGUCCAUGCCGUAAACGAAGAAUGCUAGGUGUUGGAGGGUUUCCGCCCUUCAGUGCCGCAGCUAACGCAUUAAGCAUUUCGAAUGGGGAGUGCGACCGCAAGGUUGAAACUCAAAGGAAUUGACGGGGGCCCGCACAAGCGGUCGAGCAUGUGGUUUAAUUCGAAGCAACGCGAAGAACCUUAGCAGGUCUUGACAUCUUUUGAUCACCUGAGAGAUCAGGUUUCCCCUUCGGGGGCAAAAUGACAGGUGGUGCAUGGUUGUCGUCAGCUCGUGUCGUGAGAUGUUGGGUUAAGUCCCGCAACGAGCGCAACCCUUAUGACUAGUUGCCAGCAUUUAGUUGGGCACUCUAGUAAGACUGCCGGUGACAAACCGGAGGAAGGAGGGGAUGACGUCAAAUCAUCAUUCCCCUUAUGACCUGGGCUACACACGUGCUACAAUGGAUGGUACAACGAGUUGCGAGACCGCGAGGUCAAGCUAAUCUCUUAAAGCCAUUCUCAGUUCGGACUGUAGGCUGUAACUCGCCUACACGAAGUCGGAAUCGUUAGUAAUCGCGGAUCAGCACGCCGCGGUGAAUACGUUCCCGGGCCUUGUACACACCGCCCGUCACACCAUGAGAGUUUGUAACACCCGAAGCCGGUGGCGUAACCCUUUUAGGGAGCGAGCCGUCUAAGGUGGGACAAAUGAUUAGGGUGAA